GAUGAACGCUGGCUACAGGCUUAACACAUGCAAGUCGCGGGGCAGCAUGGGGGUUGCUUGCAACUCCCGAUGGCGACCGGCGCACGGGUGAGUAACGCGUAUCCAACCUGCCCUUCACCACGGGAUAACCCGGCGAAAGUCGGACUAAUACCGUAUGUUGUCCAUUGACGGCAUCCGAUUUGGACGAAAGGCUUUGCGGUGAAGGAUGGGGAUGCGUCCGAUUAGCCAGACGGCGGGGUAACGGCCCACCGUGGCUACGAUCGGUAGGGGUUCUGAGAGGAAGGUCCCCCACACUGGAACUGAGACACGGUCCAGACUCCUACGGGAGGCAGCAGUGAGGAAUAUUGGUCAAUGGGCGUAAGCCUGAACCAGCCAAGUAGCGUGCAGGAUGACGGCCCUAUGGGUUGUAAACUGCUUUUAUGCGGGGAUAAAGUGGCCCACGUGUGGGCUUUUGCAGGUACCGCAUGAAUAAGAACCGGCUAAUUCCGUG
rnacentral:rRNA from 1 species